rnacentral:rRNA from 1 species
UACGAAGGGGGCUAGCGUUGCUCGGAAUCACUGGGCGUAAAGCGCACGUAGGCGGCUUUCUAAGUCAGGGGUGAAAUCCUGGAGCUCAACUCCAGAACUGCCUUUGAUACUGGAGAGCUUGAGUCCGGGAGAGGUGAGUGGAACUCCGAGUGUAGAGGUGAAAUUCGUAGAUAUUCGGAAGAACACCAGUGGCGAAGGCGACUUACUGGACACAUAUUGACGCUGAGGUGCGAAAGCGUGGGGAGCAAACAGG